rnacentral:rRNA from 1 species
UACGUAGGGUGCGAGCGUUGUCCGGAAUUACUGGGCGUAAAGAGUUCGUAGGCGGUUUGUCGCGUCGUUCGUGAAAACUUGGGGCUUAACUCCAAGCGUGCGGGCGAUACGGGCAGACUUGAGUACUACAGGGGAGACUGGAAUUCCUGGUGUAGCGGUGAAAUGCGCAGAUAUCAGGAAGAACACCGGUGGCGAAGGCGGCUCUCUGGGCCUUACCUGACGCUGAGGAGCGAAAGCGUGGGUAGCGUACAGG